rnacentral:rRNA from 1 species
GAUGAACGCUGGCGGCGUGCCUAAUACAUGCAAGUCGAGCGAACGGACGAGAAGCUUGCUUCUCUGAUGUUAGCGGCGGACGGGUGAGUAACACGUGGAUAACCUACCUAUAAGACUGGGAUAACUUCGGGAAACCGGAGCUAAUACCGGAUAAUAUUUUGAACCGCAUGGUUCAAAAGUGAAAGACGGUCUUGCUGUCACUUAUAGAUGGAUCCGCGCUGCAUUAGCUAGUUGGUAAGGUAACGGCUUACCAAGGCAACGAUGCAUAGCCGACCUGAGAGGGUGAUCGGCCACACUGGAACUGAGACACGGUCCAGACUCCUACGGGAGGCAGCAGUAGGGAAUCUGCCGCAAUGGGCGAAAGACUGACGGAGCAACGCCGCGUGAGUGAUGAAGGUCUUCGGAUCGUAAAACUCUGUUAUUAGGGAAGAACAUAUGUGUAAGUAACUGUGAACAUCUUGACGGUACCUAAUCAGAAAGCCAAGGCUAACUACG